rnacentral:rRNA from 1 species
AAAUUGAAGAGUUUGAUCAUGGCUCAGAUUGAACGCUGGCGGCAGGCCUAACACAUGCAAGUCGAGCGGUAGCACAGAGAGCUUGCUCUCGGGUGACGAGCGGCGGACGGGUGAGUAAUGUCUGGGAAACUGCCUGAUGGAGGGGGAUAACUACUGGAAACGGUAGCUAAUACCGCAUAAUGUCGCAAGACCAAAGUGGGGGACCUUCGGGCCUCAUGCCAUCAGAUGUGCCCAGAUGGGAUUAGCUAGUAGGUGGGGUAACGGCUCACCUAGGCGACGAUCCCUAGCUGGUCUGAGAGGAUGACCAGCCACACUGGAACUGAGACACGGUCCAGACUCCUACGGGAGGCAGCAGUGGGGAAUAUUGCACAAUGGGCGCAAGCCUGAUGCAGCCAUGCCGCGUGUGUGAAGAAGGCCUUCGGGUUGUAAAGCACUUUCAGCGGGGAGGAAGGCAUUAAGGUUAAUAACCUUGGCGAUUGACGUUACCCGCAGAAGAAGCACCGGCUAACUCCGUGCCAGCAGCCGCGGUAAUACGGAGGGUGCAAGCGUUAAUCGGAAUUACUGGGCGUAAAGCGCACGCAGGCGGUCUGUCAAGUCGGAUGUGAAAUCCCCGGGCUCAACCUGGGAACUGCAUUCGAAACUGGCAGGCUAGAGUCUUGUAGAGGGGGGUAGAAUUCCAGGUGUAGCGGUGAAAUGCGUAGAGAUCUGGAGGAAUACCGGUGGCGAAGGCGGCCCCCUGGACAAAGACUGACGCUCAGGUGCGAAAGCGUGGGGAGCAAACAGGAUUAGAUACCCUGGUAGUCCACGCCGUAAACGAUGUCGAUUUGGAGGUUGUGCCCUUGAGGCGUGGCUUCCGGAGCUAACGCGUUAAAUCGACCGCCUGGGGAGUACGGCCGCAAGGUUAAAACUCAAAUGAAUUGACGGGGGCCCGCACAAGCGGUGGAGCAUGUGGUUUAAUUCGAUGCAACGCGAAGAACCUUACCUGGUCUUGACAUCCACAGAACUUUCCAGAGAUGGAUUGGUGCCUUCGGGAACUGUGAGACAGGUGCUGCAUGGCUGUCGUCAGCUCGUGUUGUGAAAUGUUGGGUUAAGUCCCGCAACGAGCGCAACCCUUAUCCUUUGUUGCCAGCGGUUCGGCCGGGAACUCAAAGGAGACUGCCAGUGAUAAACUGGAGGAAGGUGGGGAUGACGUCAAGUCAUCAUGGCCCUUACGACCAGGGCUACACACGUGCUACAAUGGCAUAUACAAAGAGAAGCGACCUCGCGAGAGCAAGCGGACCUCAUAAAGUAUGUCGUAGUCCGGAUUGGAGUCUGCAACUCGACUCCAUGAAGUCGGAAUCGCUAGUAAUCGUAGAUCAGAAUGCUACGGUGAAUACGUUCCCGGGCCUUGUACACACCGCCCGUCACACCAUGGGAGUGGGUUGCAAAAGAAGUAGGUAGCUUAACCUUCGGGAGGGCGCUUACCACUUUGUGAUUCAUGACUGGGGUGAAGUCGUAACAAGGUAACCGUAGGGGAACCUGCGGUUGGAUCACCUCCUUA